GCCAGCCUAAUUAGAGGGGCACGGUUCCCAAUUAUUGAGCUUACCUCGAUUGGAGAGGCGCGUAGGAUAACUCCCGAGGUAGGAUUUGAGUACACUUCACGCUGGCCACCACGUGAAGUUGGGACUCAGCCAACGCCAAGGAACGGCUGUGUUGUCAGAGGUGAAAUGUGUUUGUGUGUGUGACAAUAAACAGCCUUGGCGGUCUCGGUAAGAUGCUUUCGCGAGGUAUCCCCGAGAAUGGAUUUUUGGCAAGGGCCAAGUUUUUGAAAAGUGCAUAAGCCAUGUUGAGUAAUUAGAUGAAAUCCAAUUAUUUAUAUGGGUUGGGAUGAAUUAUUUUAAUUGUCUCCUAUUACUCGGCUUUAGAUUAUUUUGAUGAUGUUUGUCUACUCACUGGGAUUUUAUAAUCUCACCCCUUCUUCCUAUACAUUUUUCAGGCUCAUAAUAGGCAGUAGACUGUCAAUUGCAUCGAGAAGUAAAUUUCGGAGUUGCAUCCUAGAAAGCAAGGUUAUAGACUUAAACCUUAUCAGUUAUUUGGGGGCUCACGUGUCAUUAUAAUUUAA
rnacentral:lncRNA from 1 species